rnacentral:rRNA from 1 species
UACGUAGGGUGCGAGCGUUGUCCGGAUUUAUUGGGCGUAAAGAGCUCGUAGGCGGUUUGUCGCGUCGGCCGUGAAAUCUCCACGCUUAACGUGGAGCGUGCGGUCGAUACGGGCAGACUUGAGUUCGGUAGGGGAGACUGGAAUUCCUGGUGUAGCGGUGAAAUGCGUAGAUAUCUGGAGGAAUACCGGUGGCGAAGGCGGCAUCCUGGACCGACAUUGACGCUGAACGGCGAAAGCUAGGGGAGCAAACGGG